rnacentral:rRNA from 1 species
UUUAUGGAGAGUUUGAUCCUGGCUCAGGAUGAACGCUGGCGGCGUGCCUAAUACAUGCAAGUCGAGCGGACAGACGAGGUGCUUGCAC